UCAUAAGAUUCAAUUGGUGGCAAUAUGGCAUCCAUGUUACCGUAUAAGGAAUUGGUUCAUCAGAUGUUGCCUAGCAAUCUAAUGUCAUCAAAUUAAUUAUUGAUCCUCAAGCAAGUAGAAUCUGUAAUCUUUACUCUGUUGUAGCAACAUAGACGAAUUCCUAUCUUGGUAUUGUUGUGACCUUGAAAUUGUUCCCCUUGUAUAUUAUCUCUAUUGUCAGCUCAAUGAGCUCUCAGUUUACUUGUUGAUUGUUGAGAAGACGAAGAUGAAUCCUCACAUCUGAUACGAUGGUGGCUUUGGUUUAACGCCUGCCUCAGAAUCACAUGAUUGCCACACGCAAGCAUCUGGAAGCAUUUUUAAUUGAGCUUGUCAUACAUAUGGAAGCAAGCUUUGCAUAUUUGUCAUAUGCAAGCAGCAUCAACAAUUGAGGGAAGUCCAAACCAAGAAAUUACCAAAUUGACGGAGAUUUUAAAGGACAUUCAAGUUAGUCCCAAAAUUAAAGAGGAUACUUGUAACACUUUGGGGCUGGAGAAUCUAGAUAUAUCACUAGUAAUAGUUCAGUAUUCAAGUCUGCUAUAAUCCAUUUAUUCUUAUAAACUCGAUCUAAACAUCAAUUAAUAUGCUUCCCUAAGGAGUCAGUGUCACAACUCAUAACUCUUCAAAUGACUAUAAAAUACAGUGAGAUGCAUCUCAAUUGGGUUCCUCUUAUUUGUCUAAGUAGCAUUUAAAACAUUCGAUGUACUUGAGAUACAAAAGUCUGACCA